ensembl:lncRNA
CACUGUCGCCCCGCGCACGCAGGCGCAGCCGCUUCCCGUAGACCCUGCACAGGACGCCGCGCCAGCGUGAGCAGGCGCCUCGGGCUCAGGGCUUACUUGCAGCUCUGUGACGGGUGCGGGCUUGGCCUCGGAGAGUGCCCCUGUGGCGGGGCGCACGGCCCGUCGGGUGACCCCAGGAUGAAGCUCUGUCGGCUGGGGACCAGCUCCCCUAGGCGGCUCGGGAGCCGGCCCAGCACACCCCACCCAGAGCUGGUCCUCACUCAGGCAGUAAAGCGCGGGCCCAGCGCUGCUCUCAGCCUGGCGCAGGCUGGAUGAGCACCCGAGCAGAAUGGACGCCCUGAAGCUGCCGUGUGCCUCCGAGUCAUGCCCACCGCCUAGAACUGAUGCUGGAGCCUCCUCUGUGACACCCGCGACUGUCUGCAAAGUGUGUGUUAAUUCCCCAGGAGUCUACACGGCCUCCCCAGGAGCACCGAGCUUCUCCCACUUUGAGGGGGGCAAGACAACAGCACAGCAGCAGCUGAGUGACAGGAGCCUCUUCUCUGUGUCCACAAGGGCACCUUACAGACAGCCAACCGCAUGCGGGGGCCGCACAGGACUCUACUCAGAAAUCCUGACACGAGAGGGGAUGGUGGACAAGCAGAAAGCGCUUCUAAGCCUUGAACCAAUUCAUUCUGAAAUCCAAGAUAUUUAAUACCUUUAAAUACACAUCUGGUUUUGAAGGUAAAACGAGGGCACUUUAAAUUGACCGAUCAUCACCAACUUUGUAAGAUUAUUCUCCUUUUUUAACACUUAGAUGCAAAUAAGAAACAAGUUAAUAAGUGAAAAAUAUUUGAGAUGUGUAAGUAUUUUCUAGAAAUAAUGUGACUUCAUUCAUAACCAAAUAGAGUCUGUUGAUGACAAGG